rnacentral:rRNA from 1 species
UACGGAAGGGGCGAGCGUUGUUCGGAAUCAUUGGGCGUAAAGGGCGCGUAGGUGGUCCUGUAUGUCUACCGUGAAAGCGUACGGCUCAACCGUAUUUUGUCGGUAGAAACUGCAGGACUUGAGGCUGGGAGGGGCUGGUGGAAUUCCCUGUGUAGCGGUGAAAUGCGUAGAGAUGGGGGAGAACACUCAUGGCGAAGGCGGCCAGCUAGACCAGUUCUGACACUGAGGCGCGACAGCGUGGGGAGCAAACAGG